GAUGAACGCUAGCUACAGGCUUAACACAUGCAAGUUGAGGGGUAGCAGGGUAGCAAUACCGCUGACGACCGGCGCACGGGUGAGUAACACGUAUCCAACCUUCCCAUAACUCGGGGAUAGCCUUUCGAAAGAAAGAUUAAUACCCGAUAGUACUUUUUCAAGGCAUCUUGAGAAAGUUAAAGAUUUAUUGGUUAUGGAUGGGGAUGCGUUCCAUUAGAUAGUUGGUGAGGUAACGGCUCACCAAGUCUUCGAUGGAUAGGGGUUCUGAGAGGAAGGUCCCCCACAUUGGUACUGAGACACAGACCAAACUCCUACGGGAGGCAGCAGUGAGGAAUAUUGGUCAAUGGGCGAGAGCCUGAACCAGCCAAGUAGCGUGAAGGAUGAAGGUCCUAUGGAUUGUAAACUUCUUUUAUAGUAGAAUAAAGUGAUCCACGUGUGGAUUUUUGUAUGUAUACUAUGAAUAAGGAUCGGCUAACUCCGUGCCAGCCGCCGCGGUAA
rnacentral:rRNA from 1 species